AUGGUAUCCGCCGGCGCGCGGGGCGACACGCGCAGGGAGCUCCUGCGGUUCCUCGGGUCAGCGCCGCUCGACGAGCUGCACCGCGCGCCGGCCAACGAGCUCGUUGGCAGGCUCAACGGCCUGGCGCAGACGUCCUUCGCCUGUGGCGUGUGGGUCGACCGGAGGCUGGCGCUCAGGCCAGAGUUCGCGGCCACCGGCGCGUCGCGGUACGGCGCCACGGCGGAAUCCGUGGACUUCGUGUCGGGGGCCGAGCAGGCGAGGCUGCGCAUGAACGCCUUCGUGGCGGAUGCGACGAAGCAGCUCAUCCACGACCUCCUCCCUCCCGGCUCCGUCGACUCGACCACGGUGGUCGUGCUCGCCAACGCGCUCUACUUCAAAGGAGUGUGGUCUCACCCGUUCGACGUCUUCACCGCGCCGUUCCACGUCCCAGGCGACACCACCGUGGGCGUGCCGUCCAUGACGACGGGCCGGUCACAGUACAUCGCGCUCUACCCGGGCUUCAGGGCACUCAAGCUUCCCUACAAGAACGACGCGUCGUGGCAAGCUGAUGCAUUCUACAUGCUUAUCCUUCUCCCGGACAGCGGCACUCUCAGUCUCGCUGAUCUCUACGACAAGGCGGUGUCGAUGCCGGAGUUCAUCAGGAAGCACAUGCCGGUGGAGGAGGUUCCGGUAGGGCGGUUCAUGGUGCCCAAGUUCAAGUUCACGUUCGGGUUCGAGGCGUCGUCCGACAUGCAAAAGCUUGGUGUCACCAGGGCUUUCUCAGGCGGUGACUUCUCAGGCAUGGUGAGUAUCGGAGUAAAUGAUGAGCAUGGGCGGGUCUCCAUCUCCCGGGUGUACCAUAAGGCCACCAUCGAGGUGGACGAGCAAGGCACCGUGGCCGCUGCUGCCACGGUCAUACUACUAGAUGGUGCUGCGCUUGAGGAAAGCGAACCACCGCAUUUGGUGGAUUUUGUCGCGGAUCGGCCCUUCUUAUUUGCCGUGGUCGAGGAGAGGACGGGAGCCGUAUUGUUCCUUGGUCAUGUGGUCAAUCCUCUCGCGGGCUAA
rnacentral:rRNA from 1 species